AGGGAUGUAGCACAGAUGGUAAAACGUUUGCUUAGCAUGCGAGAGGUCUUGGGAUCGAUCUCCUAUGUCUUCA